rnacentral:rRNA from 1 species
GAUGAACGCUGGCGGCGUGCCUAACACAUGCAAGUCGAACGGAGUCCAGCCUUAGAGACCUUCGGGUCAAAGAGGGGAAGACUGAGUGGCGGACGGGUGAGUAACACGUGGGCAACCUGGCUCAUAGAGGGGGAUAACAGAGAGAAAUUUCUGCUAAUACCGCAUAAGCACACACUGCCGCAUGGCAGAGUGUGAAAAGAGAAUCGCUAUGAGAUGGACCCGCGUCUGAUUAGCCAGUUGGCAGGGUAAGAGCCUACCAAAGCGACGAUCAGUAGCCGAGUUGAGAGGAUGAACGGCCACAUUGGGACUGAGACACGGCCCAAACUCCUACGGGAGGCAGCAGUGGGGGAUAUUGCACAAUGGGGGGAACCCUGAUGCAGCGACGCCGCGUGAGUGAAGAAGUAUUUCGGUAUGUAAAGCUCUAUCAGCAGGGAAGAUAAUGACAGUACCUGAAUAAGAAGCCCCGGCUAACUACGUG